rnacentral:rRNA from 1 species
GUGACUGCGUACCUUUUGUAUAAUGGGUCAGCGACUUAUAUUCUGUAGCAAGGUUAACCGUAUAGGGGAGCCGGAGGGAAACCGAGUCUUAACCGGGCGUUAAGUUGCAGGGUAUAGACCCGAAACCCGGUGAUCUAGCCAUGGGCAGGUUGAAGGUUGGGUAACACUAACUGGAGGACCGAACCGACUAAUGUUGAAAAAGACGAAG